CCUUGAACGCUGAGCAGAAGGCUGGGGCUGAGGGAGGCAGAGGAGAGGGGAAGGCAGGCUGGAGGAGAGGCUAGGACAGGGAGAGCCCAGGCCGGGGUACGAGCUCCGAGGCUGGGGGAACGAGGGGUUGGCAGGCCAGGGGGAAAAAGGUGGGAAGUUGGAAGGGUGGGGUUGACAUAGGAACCUGGUGAAGGUGGGAUAAAGGUGAGGGACUGGGAGAGAAAUGCUAGGUGUCUUCAAGACGAGGGAUAAGGUGUCACAUGGAGGAGGAGGAAAGGCCAGGUAGGGCAGAUAAAGUGACAUACAAGACAUGGGAGACUAGCCAGGAGGGUUUACAUAGAUCGAAAUAUAUAAUUUUUCCUGCAUAAACAUGCCGUAUGUGUAGGAACAGUAAUCUCAAGUCAGUUACUUUAUAAGAACUCGAAUAUUCUGGAGGUAUAACAGAUCUACAUUUGGGCAGAAAGAGUUGAGUAUUCCAGCUUCAGGAGUGGAGUCAUUUUUUUUGUGUGCUUUUCCUGCCAUGGAUGUAAUGCUGGUUCAGCCACCCACGUCCAAUCAGACAUCAGGAGCGCGGGCCUUGUCAUAAUGACAGCCAUGACAUCACUGCAAGGGCUCGCGGAAAGAAGACAGCGCAGCUCCAGACAGACAGCGGGGCUCCGCGGGGCUACACGGCGGAAAUAGCGAGCCGGCUGCCGGAUAGAAACAGCGCGGACUACCGGGGAUGGGGGAACUUGCGGAGGGCGCCGUUUUGAGAUUUCGCGGCCGGCAUUGGGAGCUCUGUGCCGGGCACGCGGAGGCUUCCUCGCCGGGGGAAGCGCGAGGGAGUUAUGGAGGAGGUUGAGAGGAACGGCAUCUUGUUUAAUUUCUGCCAAUCAAGACGAGAGGAGGACAACUCCCAAACCGGCAUGACAUAACAGGAGAGUGAAGACAGGAUCAAGAGACCAGGACAAUUUAUGAACCCGAUGGCAUAUGGGAACUGGUAUCACAUGCAGCCAGCAGGAGUAAAGAGACAAGAGUAAAAGAGCUCGCUGUCAGAAGUGAGAGUCAUUUCUAGGUGAAGCAUACUGAAUUAAAGUGAAUCAAGCUGAACUGAUCUGAACUGGAAUGGCCUGAGCUGAACUGAUCUGAACUGGAAUGGCCUGAGCUGAACUGAAAGGAAAGCUUCAGCCUGACAGGACUCUGGGAAAAAAAAGGUUCAGGCCGAAAAAACCUUGAAAUGAUACAGAUUAAACCCUUCUGUCAUUGAUGCCUGUUGUUUCCUGGGGGGUUCCUUGAUAUAUUCAUACUGCUGUUCACUCUUAUGUUAUGUUGUAUGACAUGAAAUAAACCAAAAAUAAGUUUGACUCAUUGAGAUCUUUUUUAUUUGUGUACAAUUUAUCACAGAAUAUGAAUUUACAUUAAAGUUGUCACUCUCUU